GAUGAACGCUGGCGGCGUGCUUAACACAUGCAAGUCGAACGGAAAGGCCUCAGCUUGCUGGGGUACUCGAGUGGCGAACGGGUGAGUAACACGUGGGCGAUCUGCCCUGCACUUUGGGAUAAGCUUGGGAAACUGGGUCUAAUACCGAAUAUGACCACUUCUUGGAUGUUGUGGUGGAAAGCUUUUGCGGUGUGGGAUGAGCCUGCGGCCUAUCAGCUUGUUGGUGGGGUAAUGGCCUACCAAGGCGGCGACGGGUAUCCGGCCUGAGAGGGUGUACGGACACAUUGGGACUGAGAUACGGACCAGACGCCUACGGGAGGCAGCAGUGGGGAAUAUUGCACAAUGGGCGCAAGCCUGAUGCAGCGACGCCGCGUGGGGGAUGAAGGCCUUCGGGUUGUAAACUCCUUUCGCUAUCGACGAAGCCACUUGUGGUGACGGUAGGUAGAUAAGAAGCACCGGCUAACUACGUGCCAGCCGCCGCCGUAA
rnacentral:rRNA from 1 species